AAUAAAGUUGGUCCUGUAACGGGAUGGGAUCCGAAGCCUCCUGAAGAUCCCAUCCAACUCCUAUUCCGACACGUCCACGUCGUGCAGGGUGGUAACAUGGGCAUACGCUCCUAGCUCCUAGUCACCUAGCCUUUUUGGGCGGGUGACGGCUCAUGGUUAAGGAGGAAGGG
rnacentral:ribozyme from 1 species